GCAUAACGCGAAGAACCUUACCAGGUCUUGACAUCCCUCUGAAUAUCCUAGAGAUAGGGUAGGCCUUCGGGACAGAGGAGACAGGUGGUGCAUGGUUGUCGUCAGCUCGUGUCGUGAGAUGUUGGGUUAAGUCCCGCAACGAGCGCAACCCUUGAUCUUAGUUGCCAGCAUUCAGUUGGGCACUCUAAGGUGACUGCCGGUGACAAACCGGAGGAAGGUGGGGAUGACGUCAAAUCAUCAUGCCCCUUAUGACCUGGGCUACACACGUACUACAAUGGUCGGUACAAAGGGCAGCGAAGCCGCGAGGUGGAGCCAAUCCCAUAAAGCCGAUCUCAGUUCGGAUUGCAGGCUGCAACUCGCCUGCAUGAAGUCGGAAUUGCUAGUAAACGCGGAUCAGCAUGCCGCGGUGAAUACGUUCCCGGGUCUUGUACACACCG
rnacentral:rRNA from 1 species